AGUGAACGCUGGCGGUAGGCCUAACACAUGCAAGUCGAACGGCAGCACAGUAAGAGCUUGCUCUUACGGGUGGCGAGUGGCGGACGGGUGAGGAAUACAUCGGAAUCUACUUUUUCGUGGGGGAUAACGUAGGGAAACUUACGCUAAUACUGCAUACGACCUACGGGUGAAAGCAGGGGAUCUUCGGACCUUGCGCGAUUGAAUGAGCCGAUGUCGGAUUAGCUAGUUGGCGGGGUAAAGGCCCACCAAGGCGACGAUCCGUGGCUGGUCUGAGAGGAUGAUCAGCCACACUGGAACUGAGACACGGUCCAGACUCCUACGGGAGGCAGCAGUGGGGAAUAUUGGACAAUGGGCGCAAGCCUGAUCCAGCCAUACCGCGUGGGUGAAGAAGGCCUUCGGGUUGUAAAGCCCUUUUGUUGGGAAAGAAAAGCAGCAGGUUAAUACCCCGCUGUUCUGACGGUACCCAAAGAAUAAGCACCGGCUAACUUCGUG
rnacentral:rRNA from 1 species